rnacentral:rRNA from 1 species
CUCGUAGGCGGCCAACUAAGUCAUACGUGAAAUCCCUCAGCUUAACUGGGGAACUGCGUGUGAUACUGGAUGGCUUGGAUUUGGGAGAGGGAUGCGGAAUUCCAGGUGUAGCGGUGAAAUGCGUAGAUAUCUGGAGGAACACCGGUGGCGAAGGCGGCAUCCUGGACCAAUAUUGACGCUGAGGAGCGAAAGCCAGGGGAGCAAC